UGGGGUUAAACCAGGAUAGGUGUCAAUUUAUGAAGAGAUACAGAGAGAAGACAAAGAAAAAAAAAUACAGUAUGCAUUUUUACUGAAAUCUCACAAGUCAUUUGUCUGGGGAAGGGUGGGGGGGAGGUAAAAUUGACAUCAAGCAGCUUCUCGCACGUCGGUUCUGUGGACGGGGCGGGGGGGGAGAGAGAGAGCGCCUUUGUUACAGUCGUGGGAAGGGUAAGAGAGCGCUUCACUGCGAAACUUGGAUAAAACUGACAUCAAGCAACUUAAGAAAAAAAACUUCUAGAACCUUAGAAGCUACAAAAAGCGAAAUUUUAAAUGAGUUACAUUUAUUCAGUUAAAAAAUUGACAGUUAGUAAUGAUCACAUGAACACCAGGGAACUGUAUCUACAUUUCCUGACGUCAAUAUGAGCGGCACUAGGGUUUUUCUGUUGGUUCUUUUACGUAUACAAAUCUAAUGCCAGUUAAAAAAAUACAAAACUGAAACCCAAGACACUGUGAAAUCAACACUGCUUAAAAACUCAAAAUUCAUUCUGAUAUAUUUGAAAAUAAAUAAUUUUUACCUUUCUUGUUAAAAAAAGACAACCCACCGACUGCUUUCAAAGCAGUAACAUCUUUUAAGACCAUUCCCAGAAGUGUUUCAUAAAUAAUUACCCAUUGAUUGUCUACGAAUGCAGCAUCUCUCGGUCGCAGCUGGGGUCUCUAGAUUAGGCCAUACAGUAUUUUGUUCAGACACAGUGUUUUGUUUUGUGAUUUCCCUCCCCUCCCUUUUUUUUAUUUAGGUACAAUUUCUUUGAAUAUAGAAUAUCAUGCUGGCAAAAUUCAUGCAGAUGACAUAGCAUGAAGCAUAGCAGAGCUUAAAAUCACCUGUUUAAAAAAAAAAAAAACAAAAAAAAACCAAACGAAAAAAGAAGACAACAAGGAAUGUAGUGUUAAAAAAUCAUGAUAGUGAAAAAGCAACUAUCCAGUCUCAUGGACAACCAAGACGAUUUCAAAAGGUCUCUCACAGUUGUCUCAUCUACUAUGAUUUGUUUAAAUAUGUCUUUUUACAUCCAGAUUCACUUAGUUCUCUUCACCUUUUUCCACCAGGGAUAAGUAAAAAAAUAAAAGGUUAAUUAUUAAAACUAGUCUCUUUUCCCUUUUAAUCAAAAUACCCAUUUUCCAGCCCUCUGACUGUACAUCUGAUUUUAAUAAUGAUUUCAAAUAGAGAAACUUAGGACUCUGACAUGUUCGACAUCUCCUGAUGCCACGACAUUUAAAACACUCAUAACAAUACCUGGGUUCAAUCUCAGAAAAUACAAACAGUUCUCUAAUCGACUCCAACAUUUGAAAAAGGCCACAUCUUUAAACCUUCAGCACGUUUUCACACACAAGUUAUAAUCCUAAGGGACACUUAGAAUUACCGAGCAGGCAAAUGAGCCUCCGGAUGAUUCUCUCUCAUAGGCAACUGUGCAACUUAAAAAGUCUCCUUCCAAGGAAGCCGUCAUCGCUAAUCCCUUCCCCUGGCCAGAUAAAACACAAAGCCAACUGGUUUUAGAAGCCUUUUUAAUCUUGCACUUUGAGCCUCAAAGGAUCACCAUAUUAAAGAAACAUUUUCCAGAAAUGUCUCUCUUGACAGUUUUAUGCAUGUUAUUCCUCGAUGCCCCCCUUUUCAACAGUUUCACUGACUAAAGAAAUAAACUGGUUUUCAAAUAGUCUCUUCAGUAAAGUGCUUGUCAUUACUCAAAAAAAAAAAAAAAAAAAGAGAAAGUGCUAUUUGAGUCUUAAGAGAAUUUCCUUUUCUGUGAAAAACUGCCUGAUAUAGCUUGGUUUUACUCAUUUUUACAUAAAGCUGAAAUGAAACCUAUCUCUUGUAAGGAUACUGGGUUACUAAUUUUGGUGUUUGGCAGUAGGCAAGGUGCCCACAGAAGGUGGUGACACGCUGGAACCGUAGUGCAGAAGGUAAACCUUCUAGAUGAAAUGGAAGGCAUAUGGAGAGCUCCUACUAGAAUCCUUUCGUAUUUAUAUACAAAUAUAAUAUAUAUUAAAUAUAAUAUAAAAAUAGCUAUAUUCUUUUUCUCUGAAGUUAUCCUAGAAGCUUUUCUUCAAAUCCUUGCCCGUCAUAGGCAAACAACGUCUGUCUCCUCAACUCCAUGCAACGCUGCUGGCUUUUUCGCCCCGUUAUCUACCACCAGCCCCUUUCUCCGUAACUACAAUCCUCUCCUCGCCGGACGCCUGCCCUCCCGUCAGAGUCACUCUCUAACGUUUCAGCUCCAGAACCUGCAGCGUCACAGCAUUCGUUACCGUGCUAUUUAUUAGGAUGUUGCAAAUAAGUCUACGACUGAAGUAAACAAGUCGGGCGGAAGCAAAAGGCUGAUUAAGAAAGAGGCAAUACCCCGGUCCUCCUCCCCCUAAAAAUAAAGGACAGUUCAGCAACUGAUUCAGCAACAGGGGAAGCUGCAGGCCCUUUAAAAAUACGCUUUUUAGUCAUUAGCUGUGAAACAAAGCAUCCUCAUCGGCGCACAGAAUCUGGACCAAGUCCUAGGUACUCACUUUUGUGAAAAGGUCGCCCGAUUCGUGGUGGGCAUUUUUCAACUGCGUGCUGUAUUUUUCCAGUUUCUUUGAAUUCCCCCAUCUCCUAGACCUUCUCCCCUAGCUGGUCGUUCUGCGACUGAAUGACCUCUCUCUGAGGUUACAAGAAGCUUCCUGAUCAAAGUGUACAUUGCUCUAGUCCUCUUUCAGCAGCCAUGCUAUUGUCAUCUUCUGGUUUCCCUCUCAUCUAGUUUAGCCUUUUUACUGACAGACCUAUAGCAGCACACCAGAGUAAUUUGGGAAGGGGGAAACGGGAAGAGAAGUUUAGACAAAGCUUGUAUAAAAAGCUGCAUCAUUAACUGGCUGGCUGGUAUCUCUAUUUUCUGUAAUUCUCAGUAUAAUAGCUUAAUAAACCUAUUUUACUGCUAUUCAAUAGUUCCAACAGCACUAUUAAAGCUCUCCCAGUUUUCUUUUUUAGUGCUAUAUUAUUAUUGUAAUUGGUUAAAAAUUUUUUUAUCGUCUAACCUACUUUCCAUUAAGCAAAAGUACUGAUAGCACAGACCUCUAGUCAGCGCAGCUUAGUUUGGAGUGGCGUGGUAGGGAUAGUAGAGCAAGGCCGGAUUUCUUUACAUCGAACUUUACCGCAACAGGUUUCUGACAAUUAUUCCAGCCCAGAGAAUGCCAGAAACCCCUUUACAGAAGGGGAAUUGUUCCUUGCUAUGUUUGGUAUUGGCAUCUGUUCCUUGCUCCAGGCUGCAGGAGGCUUCUUGGAGCAGAACGCAAUCCGAUUCUCUUUGGUACUGUGUUCCUCACACUCUCCUUCCGUGUUCACUACUGUGCUUUUUGGUGCCAAACUCCUGCUUUAUAACCGGGGAAUAACAACGACCUAACGGUGGGACACGUGCAGAGGCAAAGGCCGGCCUCAAAACGCAGCCAGCUGUACCAAACGCUUGGCUAAGCGGGUGUUACCUUCCUGCGGGUUUGGUUCAUCCAGUAAUACAAUCAAACUGUUUCAGACUACAAAAUAGUCCAUCACCAUUUGGUUACAUUCAUUCAGCUCCUCCUCAGUAUUCAAGAUUAAUCCAGCUUUCUCUCCCUAGUACUAAUUUUAACUGCUUUUACUGUUUUUCUUUUCAACUAUCAGAUCUAUCAGCAUUUAUUCAUUUUCCUCUGAAGUUCUGGCUUCCACAAACUAGUACCAUAAAAACCUACUGAACAUUUACUUAAAAUAGCACAUCAUAUCUGUUGGAACUUUUUAUUUUCUUUAUAAAGUGAAGUUGCCUUCUGAAGUCUUAGUUCAGUGAUAUCUCUUAAAUCAAUAGCCUGGUAGUGUAAAAUGCAAUCAUGGUCUCCCCCAACACACGCUUUAAAUGCUACAAAAAUGAUUAAAAAA